rnacentral:rRNA from 1 species
CAACGCCGCGUGAGCGAUGAAGGCCUUCGGGUCGUAAAGCUCUGUGUUAGGGAAGAACAAGUAUCGGAGUAACUGCCGGUACCUUGACGGUACCUAACCAGAAAGCCACGGCUAACUACGUGCCAGCAGCCGCGGUAAUACGUAGGUGGCAAGCGUUGUCCGGAAUUAUUGGGCGUAAAGCGCGCGCAGGCGGUCCUUUAAGUCUGAUGUGAAAGCCCACGGCUCAACCGUGGAGGGUCAUUGGAAACUGGGGGACUUGAGUACAGAAGAGGAAAGUGGAAUUCCACGUGUAGCGGUGAAAUGCGUAGAGAUGUGGAGGAACACCAGUGGCGAAGGCGACUUUCUGGUCUGUAACUGACGCUGAGGCGCGAAAGCGUGGGGAGCAAACAGGAUUAGAUACCCUGGUAGUCCACGCCGUAAACGAUGAGUGCUAAGUGUUAGAGGGUUUCCGCCCUUUAGUGCUGCAGCAAACGCAUUAAGCACUCCGCCUGGGGAGUACGGUCGCAAGACUG